CCUUCGAUAGCUCAGUUGGUAGAGCGGUGGACUGUAGUUGGUGUUUAAUAAAAUCAGAAAUCCAUAGGUCGCUGGUUCAAAUCCGGCUCGAAGGA
rfam:Trichomalopsis sarcophagae strain Alberta scaffold8, whole genome shotgun sequence.